rnacentral:rRNA from 1 species
CAGGACGAACGCUGGCGGCGUGCCUAAUACAUGCAAGUCGAACGGUCUUUUCUAUGGAAGCUUGCUUCCACUGAGAAGAUAGUGGCGAACGGGUGAGUAACACGUGGGUAACCUGCCCAUAAGAGGGGGGAUAACAUCCGGAAACGGGUGCUAAUACCGCAUAGUUUUCUUGAUCGCAUGAUUGGGAAAGGAAAGACGGCCUUUGUGCUGUCGCUUAUGGAUGGACCCGCGGCGUAUUAGUUAGUUGGUGAGGUAACGGCUCACCAAGACGAUGAUACGUAGCCGACCUGAGAGGGUGAUCGGCCACAUUGGGACUGAGACACGGCCCAAACUCCUACGGGAGGCAGCAGUAGGGAAUCUUCCGCAAUGGACGAAAGUCUGACGGAGCAACGCCGCGUGAGUGAAAGAAGGUUUUCGGAUCGUAAAACUCUGUUGUCAGAGAAGAACAAGUUGGAGAGUAACUGCUCCAGCCUUGACGGUAUCUGACCAGAAAGCCACGGCUAACUACGUGCCAGCCGCCGC